CUUCAGUAAGUUAAUAAAACUCAGUUUGCUUAUAUUCUAACAGGUUUCUUUAUUUGAGGAGGGGUGUUCAUAAUUUGAAGGAUCCACAGAAAUUCAGCUGUGACCUCACCCCACCUUGGAAUGGACCAGGGCUCUUAAUCCAGACCAUUUUUACCUAGAGGAAUAGCUCUUUUAAGUAUUUGGUGGGUACUGCAUGAAGGCUGGUGACAAGAUGUUCUCUAUCUUGGCGGAAGACAGAACAGAAAAACAAUACAGUAAUAACUUAGCCGUGUACCUACUUGGAAUAUACAUGAAAGAGAUCCAAAAACCUAAUGGGUAGUGAAUGCUUGGACUGGUCCAUCUGGAACAUUAGAUAAAAAUUAUGUGAAACAAUAUCUGAGGCACAACGGUUAAGCUACUUGGCUGCUAACAGAAAAGUCCGUAG